rnacentral:rRNA from 1 species
GACGAACGCUGGCGGCGUGCUUAACACAUGCAAGUCGAACGGAAAGGCCCUGCUUUUGUGGGGUGCUCGAGUGGCGAACGGGUGAGUAACACGUGAGUAACCUGCCCUUGACUUUGGGAUAACUUCAGGAAACUGGGGCUAAUACCGGAUAGGAGCUCCUGCUGCAUGGUGGGGGUUGGAAAGUUUCGGCGGUUGGGGAUGGACUCGCGGCUUAUCGGCUUGUUGGUGGGGUAGUGGCUUACCAAGGCUUUGACGGGUAGCCGGCCUGAGAGGGUGACCGGCCACAUUGGGACUGAGAUACGGCCCAGACUCCUACGGGAGGCAGCAGUGGGGAAUAUUGCACAAUGGGCGGAAGCCUGAUGCAGCAACGCCGCGUGCGGGAUAACGGCCUUCGGGUUGUAAACCGCUUUCGCCUGUGACGAAGCGUGAGUGACGGUAAUGGGUAAAGAAGCACCGGCUAACUACGUG